GACGAACCGAGCGAACGUUAUUCGGAAUCACUGGGCUUAAAGGGCGCGUAGGCGGGCUCGCGAGUCAGGGGUGAAAGCCCCCAGCCCAACUGGGGAAGUGCCUUUGAUACUGCGAGCCUCGAGGGAGGUAGGGGCGUGCGGAACUUCCGGUGGAGCGGUGAAAUGCGUAGAUAUCGGAAGGAACACCGGUGGCGAAAGCGGCGCGCUGGACCUCUUCUGACGCUGAGGCGCGAAAGCCAGGGGAGCGAACGGG
rnacentral:rRNA from 1 species